GGGGCUUGAACUCUAGGACUGUGGGGACGCUUAACCGACUGAGCCACCCAGGCGCCUACUGUAGGACAUAUUUCUAGAAUUGCUAAAGCAAAGGCUAUGUGCAUUUAAUCUGGAAGGCAUUGCCUAAUUUCCCUCCACGAAGUUGCACCAAUGUACAGCAAACAGGAAUGUCUGUGCGUGUCCUUAAAGGACUGUCCAGCCUACACCACAACAACGUCAUCUCCAGCGAAUCUUAACAACACUCCCAGAGGAGAAAAAGCACGCAUUACAAUUACCACGUUUUGGAAAUAGGAAACUGAGGCCCAGAGAAGUAAGUGAGUGAUAGGGCCUGAAAUCGAUCCUAAGUUUCUAGAUCUCAGCCCGGAGGCCGAACUCGGAGGGACAGGGCGGCGUCCAACUCGCACCGCUUUUUCACCAGUUCUGCUCAAGGCCGUCGCUCGCAAAUCCCACGUCGACUCCCACCCGCAGCGGGAGCCUCUCGGGCGCCGGGCCGGUCGCCCAGCCCAGACGCGAACCCUUGCCCGAAGCUCGCCUCCCUCGGACAGCAGGUGCCUCCCAGCAACCCCCUUCCCAGAGUUCUCCCUCCACCCGGCCCCGGUCGGCCGGGGCCAGGGAGGCCCCUUGUCAGGACUACAUUUCAAACGGCACAACUGAACGCGGCGAAGAGAGCGCGUCCCGGCCUCUUCCCCCUACACCCUAGACACCUCAGAGCCGCGGCUGCCAGGAGUAACUGCCUUUCAGGCCUCCGCGGCCUCUCCUACGCCGGCAGCGCUCGGCCUGGGGGGGGGGGGGGGGGGGGGACGACCCCGGCGGCGCGGAACCCACCGCGAUGCUCGGGCGCCAUCUCGCGUCCGUUCCUUUGGCCGCCGGGUGGCAGCCCGGAAACUACGAUUCCCACCGUGCCUAGCGCGUCCGCGCAGGCGCGGAGAGCCUCUCUCGUUUCCAUGGGAACCUCGCCCUCUAGGGUCCCAGGUGCUUGACUUCUGCGGGGCGCGUGGCUGUUGUUCCCCCUCAGGUGCCCUCGCGCUAGGCUGGGUCUGCGGGCAGCCGAGGGGGCAGAAUAGGGGGCUUGAGGGGAGGAGGCCAGGCGGCUCUGCCUCCCGGGACCAGCGCUGCCAAAUUCUCGGCGUCCGGCGGUCCGCGCGCUUCCUGGGCCUCGGAGUUUGAGGCGGAGGGGCCCGGGGAGGCCCGGGUUGGCGAGGCCAGCGUCCGUCCGGCUCUGACCCGCGCAGCCCGCCUCGCUCCGCGCCAGCGUCCUGUCCCCGGCCGAAAGCCUGCGCGCCGCAGACAGAGAAUAUGGGAUCAUUACCCCCACAGUGCGCCCCGCGUGCCAGACACGGGGAGCUGGAUGGUUUUGAGCGACAAUCUCAGCUCAGGAUCUGGAGGCAGAGAAACUUGGGUGUGUGGUUUUGGACAAAGUUAUCACAUCUCUUGAGCCUCGGUUUCAUCAGUUGCAAAACCAGGGGUAAUCCUACUGUCACCUCAAGUGUUUGAAGGUUAAAUGAGAUAAUGCACAUGGGGGAUGGCGCCGGACUCUUCUGGAGGGACUCAGAACCGGCCGUUCUUUCAUCUUCCCGGCAGCCCGCACGUCCACUCUGGAGUCCUGCUCUUCCAGUUUGCUCCCACUCCACUGGCUGCGGGUAAGUGCCCACUGGGCAUCGGGAUUCCCGAGUCGCCAAGCGCCACGCGAAGCUUUGGCAACUCCGGGCCCGGCGUCUGAGAGGAGGUCACCACAGCCGAGUGCCUGCCCCGGAGGCCUACGUCAGCCUGCUUCAGGGGCGUGCCGGUCCUUUACAAUUCACGACGGCCAGAAGGUCUUACCUCGUGACCUUGACUUUGCCACCUGAGAGAUCUGAGUUUUGGGGUUAUAGACCAAAGAGCCAGACGGCGGCAUUGAGACCGGCGAUCUUUCCGCUCCCUCGGCUGUCACCGAAGGGGUGCCAUCUGCCUACCGGCAGGGCCGUAGUCGUAGGCUGACCUGAAAGCAGACCCGUACGCCCCUUCCUUCCCAUUUCAGUCAGAAUUUCCUACCCCUUUGCCUCAGUUUUCCAGCCUGGCCCAGCCGUCCUCAGACAUAUUUGGCCAGAGUCUCACUCUCGUACCCGCACUGGACUCUGACUUGUUCCCAUGGCGGCAUGUCGCAUCAGGGAGCCGCUGCCCCUUCUCCUACUCUGCAGCUGCCCGGACCGCUGGCACACCAGAGGGGAUUCUGGGUCUGGGUUGGAGAACCGAGAAUACAAAGCUGUCCUCCCACCGGGUGGGGAGGCGAGGUGGCGAAGUUUGCCCGGUGAGCUUCCCUGGCCUGGGUACAGAUGCCACACUCCACCCCACUGGCGCGACCCGCAGAAGCUCGGCGAGCCUCGGGGGUGAAGAUGGAGAGGGAGGUGUGGCAGAAAGGGGCGGGUGGAAGAAGACCCGGAUAAAAGCAAGGGCCACAUGCUGGCCUCGCUCAAGUCAGACAUAAUCGUGGGGGAGAGCGACAGAUUGGGUGAAGGAGAGUGCCCCUAAAGGCCGGGAGACAGAGCUUAUCAUACGUACCCCCCCCAUAAGUUAUGUGGCCCGGGAAGGCUUGGAACUGGGCGGAAGUGUCCAGAACAGCAGCUGCCUGUCUAUCCCAGCAGUACACACGGCUGUGCAGCUCGUUUCUUCAUUUGGUGGGCCUCCUCCACGGCCCGUGGCAUUGACUACAUUCAUUAUGUCGUGCAACCCUCCUCACUAGCCAUUUCCAGAACUUUUUCAUUAAACAUCCCAUCCACCCUGGCAAUCUCUAUUCUGCUUUCUAUCUCCAUACAUUUGCUCAUCCACCCCAUGCAAGUGGAAUCUGUCAAUAGUCAUUUUAUGUGUGGCUUAUGACCCUUAGCCUAAUAUCUUCAAGAUUCAUCUAUUUUUCUAGCAUGGGUCAGAAUGUCAUUCCUUUUUUAAGGCCGAAUAACAUCCUGCUGCAUGGAUAGACGACAUUUUGCUUAGGCUUUCACCUGUUGAUGGACAUAGGGGUUAUUCCCAUCUUCUGGCCACUCUGGAUGAUGCCGUGAACACGGCUGCACAAACAUCUGUUUGAGUCCCUGCUUUGAUUCUUUAGCGCGUGCCUAGAAGUAGGGUUGCUGGAUCAUAUGGUGAAGCCUGUGUUCAGCUUCCUGAGGAGUCGCCAAACUGUUUUCACAGCGGCCAAGAAAUUUCACGAUGACGCAGUAUUAUUAUCUAGAUUGCCUACCAUAAUUAUAUUUCCCCAAAUAGCGCUAAAUUUUCCAUUACAGCUUAAAAAAAAAAAAAGUUUCAAGAUCCAAUCAGGAAUCACAGUCUGCGUUUAGUUGUCAUGUCUCUUGAUUCUUCUUUGAUCUAGAAUAAUGUUCCUUCCUAUUUGUUUUUCAUGACACUGCCAUUUUUGCAGAAUCCAGCCCAGUUGUCUUAUAGAAUAUCCUCCAAUUUGAAUUUGCUUGAAUGUUUCCUUGCAGUUAGAGUCAGAUUAAACCUUUCUGCAAGAAUACUGUAUGAGCAGUAAGUUCUCUCUGUUUCAUUACUUCAACCAUUUAAUGUUGCCCGAUCUCAUUAUUGCUGAUGUUGAAUUUGGUUGCUGGUUAAGAUGUCAUCUGCUAGAUCUUUCCAUUGUCCAGGAACCCUUUCCCUCUGUAGUCAUGAGCUGUGUGGUAAGUUGAAGUUGUGUGAAUAUCCUGUCCCCAACAAUCUGUCAAUCAUUGGUUUUAGUAUCAAGGAAUGAUCUUGGCGUAGAUUAUUAUUUCAUUGUGUGUUUUUAAAUUAUAUCAUUCCUUCUACAUUUAUUAUGUGUUUUGUAUAAUCUCUUAUUCUGAGGCACCUGGGCGGCUCGGUCAGUUAAGCACCCAGCUCUUGAUUUCAGCUCUGGUCAUGAUCUAAUGAUUCGUGAGAUCAAGCCACACGUUGAGAUCUGCACUGACCGUGUGGAAUUUGCUUGGGAUUCUCUCUCCCUUCCCCUCUCUCUCUCUCUCUCUCUUUCUCUCUGCACUGUCCUUCUCAAAAUGAAUAAACAAACUUAAAGAAAAAAAAAAGAAAAAAGUCAGCGGAAACAUAAUCAUGAGAUGAUACCAAUGUUGAAAUUAGCGUACAAGGACUGCAAAGUAGUUACUAUAAAUAUGACUAAGGACUUGAAGGAAAAUAUAGUGGUCUUAAUUGGGAGUCUUAACAGAGUAAUUAAGACUGUAAAGAAUUGGGGCCCCUGUGUGGCUCAGUGGGUUAAGCAUCCAAGUUUGGCUCAGGUCAUGAUCUCGCAGUCCUUGAGUUCAAGCCCCGCGUCAGGCUCUGUGCUGACAUGACAGCUCAGAGCCUGCUUCUUCAGAGAUGUCUCCUUCUCUCUCUGAUUCUCUCUCUCUCUCUCUCUCUCUCUC